rnacentral:rRNA from 1 species
UACAGAGGUCUCAAGCGUUGUUCGGAUUCAUUGGGCGUAAAGGGUGCGUAGGCGGCGCGGUAAGUCGGGUGUGAAAUCUUGGAGCUUAACUCCGAAACUGCAUUCGAUACUGCCGUGCUUGAGGACUGGAGAGGAGACUGGAAUUUACGGUGUAGCGGUGAAAUGCGUAGAUAUCGUAAGGAAGACCAGUGGCGAAGGCGGCUACCUGGACCAGCAUUGACACUCAAGCACGAAAGCGUGGGGAGCAAACAGG